UACGUAGGUCCCGAGCGUUGCCCGGAUUUAUUGGGCGUAAAGCGAGCGCAGGUGGUUUAUUAAGUCUGGUGUAAAAGGCAGUGGCUCAACCAUUGUAUGCAUUGGAAACUGGUAGACUUGAGUGCAGGAGAGGAGAGUGGAAUUCCAUGUGUAGCGGUGAAAUGCGUAGAUAUAUGGAGGAACACCGGAGGCGAAAGCGGCUCUCUGGCCUGUAACUGACACUGAGGCUCGAAAGCGUGGGGAGCAAACAGG
rnacentral:rRNA from 1 species